rnacentral:rRNA from 1 species
AGAGUUUGAUCCUGGCUCAGGACGAACGCUGGCGGUAUGCCUAACACAUGCAAGUCGUACGAGAGUUUUUAACUCUAGUGGCGGACGGGUGAGUAACACGUGAGAAUUUACCUUUAGGAGGGGGAUAACAAUUGGAAACGAAUGCUAAUACCCCAUAUGCUUUUGAGUGAAAUGGAUUUAUAAUUAUCUGCCUAAAGAAAAGCUCGCGGCUGAUUAGCUUGUUGGUAAGGUAAGAGCUUACCAAGGCGACGAUCAGUAUCUGGUUUGAGAGGACGAUCAGACACACUGGAACUGAGACACGGUCCAGACUCCUACGGGAGGCAGCAGUGGGGAAUUUUCCGCAAUGGGCGAAAGCCUGACGGAGCAAUACCGCGUGAGGGAAGACUGCCUAUGGGUUGUAAACCUCUUUUUUCAGGGAGGAAUAAAAUGACGUGUACCUGAAGAAUAAGCAUCGGCUAACUCCGUGCCAGCAGCCGCGGUAAG